rnacentral:rRNA from 1 species
AACGAACGCUGGCGGCAGGCUUAACACAUGCAAGUCGAGCGCCCCGCAAGGGGAGCGGCAGACGGGUGAGUAACGCGUGGGAACGUACGCUUUGUUACGGAAUAGCUCCGGGAAACUGGAAUUAAUACCGUAUGUGCCCUACGGGGGAAAGAUUUAUCGGCAAAGGAUCUGCCCGCGUUGGAUUAGCUAGUUGGUGGGGUAAUGGCCUACCAAGGCGACGAUCCAUAGCUGGUCUGAGAGGAUGAUCAGCCACAUUGGGACUGAGACACGGCCCAAACUCCUACAGGAGGCAGAAGUGGGGAAUAUUGGACAAUGGGCGCAAGCCUGAUCCAGCCAUGCCGCGUGAGUGAUGAAGGCCUUAGGGUUGUAAAGCUCUUUCACCGGAGAAGAUAAUGACGGUAUCCGGAGAAGAAGCCCCGGCUAACUUCGUGCCAGCCGCCGCGGUAACAC